AACUUUAUAGUCAUUUUAAAAUGAUAUUAGACUGCAAUUCUAAAGGAAUAAAUAAUUUAUUAAAGUUU
rnacentral:tRNA from 1 species